rnacentral:tRNA from 1 species
UAGAAUAUUAGGUUAUAUUGGAUAAAUAAGAGUUUUGAAAAUUCUUUAUAAGUGUUCGAUUCACUUAUAACCUU